rnacentral:rRNA from 1 species
GAUGAACGCUGGCGGCGUGCCUAAUACAUGCAAGUCGAGCGAACAGACGAGGAGCUUGCUCCUCUGACGUUAGCGGCGGACGGGUGAGUAACACGUGGAUAACCUACCUAUAAGACUGGGAUAACUUCGGGAAACCGGAGCUAAUACCGGAUAAUAUAUUGAACCGCAUGGUUCAAUAGUGAAAGACGGUUUUGCUGUCACUUAUAGAUGGAUCCGCGCCGCAUUAGCUAGUUGGUAAGGUAACGGCUUACCAAGGCAACGAUGCGUAGCCGACCUGAGAGGGUGAUCGGCCACACUGGAACUGAGACACGGUCCAGACUCCUACGGGAGGCAGCAGUAGGGAACCUUCCGCAAUGGGGGAAAGCAUGACGGAGCAACGCCGCGUGAGUGAUGAAGGUCUUCGGAUCGUAAAACUCUGUUAUUAGGGAAGAACAAAUGUGUAAGUAACUAUGCACGUCUUGACGGUACCUAAUCAGAAAGCCACGGCUAACUACGUG